ACACGACCGUACCGCAAACCGACACUGGUGCGCGAGAUGAGUAUUCUAAGGCGCUUGAGAGAACUCAGGAGAAGGAACUCGGCAAAUUGACACCGUAACUUCGGAAGAAGGUGUGCCUUUAGUAGGUGAAGUCCCUCGCGGAUGGAGCCCAAUGAGGUUGCAAAGAAUCGGUGGCUGCGACUGUUUAUUAAAAACACAGCACUCUGCAAACACGAAAGUGGACGUAUAGGGUGUGACGCCUGCCCGGUGCUGGAAGAUUAAAUGAUGGGGUGCAAGCUCUUGAUUGAAGUCCCAGUAAACGGCGGCCGUAACAAUAACGGUCCUAAGGUAGCGAAAUUCCUUGUCGGGUAAGUUCCGACCUGCACGAAUGGCGUAACGAUGGCCACACUGUCUCCUCCUGAGACUCAGCGAAGUUGAAAUGUUUGUGAUGAUGCAAUCUCCCCGCGGAAAGACGGAAAGACCCCAUGAACCUUUACUGUAGCUUUGUAUUGGACUUUGAACAGAUCUGUGUAGGAUAGGUGGGAGGCUUUGAAGCAGGGUCGCUAGAUCUUGUGGAGCCAACGUUGAAAUACCACCCUGGUGUGUUUGAGGUUCUAACCUGGGCCCGUAAUCCGGGUUGGGGACAGUGCAUGGUAGGCAGUUUGACUGGGGCGGUCUCCUCCCAAAGUGUAACGGAGGAGUUCGAAGGUACGCUAGUUACGGUCGGACAUCGUGACGAUAGUGCAAUGGCAUAAGCGUGCUUAACUGCGAGACUGACAAGUCGAGCAGAUGCGAAAGCAGGACAUAGUGAUCCGGUGGUUCUGUAUGGAAGGGCCAUCGCUCAACGGAUAAAAGGUACUCUGGGGAUAACAGGCUGAUACCGCCCAAGAGUUCAUAUCGACGGCGGUGUUUGGCACCUCGAUGUCGGCUCAUCUCAUCCUGGGGCUGUAGCCGGUCCCAAGGGUAUGGCUGUUCGCCAUUUAAAGAGGUACGUGAGCUGGGUUUAAAACGUCGUGAGACAGUUUGGUCCCUAUCUUCCGUGGGCGCUGCAGAUUUGAGGAAGCCUGCUCCUAGUACGAGAGGACCGGAGUGGACGCACCUCUGGUGUAUCGGUUGUCACGCCAGUGGCAUUGCCGAGUAGCUAUGUGCGGAAGAGAUAACCGCUGAAAGCAUCUAAGCGGGAAACUCGUUUCAAGAUGAGAUCUGCCGGGGCCUUGAGCCCCCUGAAGAGUCGUUCAAGACCAGGACGUUGAUAGGUCGGGUGUGGAAGCGCAGUAAUGCGUUAAGCUAACCGAUACUAAUUGCUCGUGCGGCUUGACCCU
rnacentral:rRNA from 1 species